rnacentral:rRNA from 1 species
UACGUAGGGUGCAAGCGUUAAUCGGAAUUACUGGGCGUAAAGCGUGCGCAGGCGGCUUUGCAAGACAGAUGUGAAAUCCCCGGGCUCAACCUGGGAACUGCAUUUGUGACUGCAUGGCGUGGAGUGGCGGCAAGAUGGGGGAUGGAAUUCCGCGUGUAAGCAGUGAAAUGCGUAGAUAUGGCGGAGGAACACCGAUGGCGAAGGCAAUCCCCUGGGCCUGCACUGACGCUCAUGCACGAAAGCGUGGGGAGCAAACAGG